AGAAAUCCAAAACCCAUGGGUGACUUGGAGGGGUUCAAGCCUUCAGUGGAGGAAGUCACUGCAGUUGUGGUGGAAACAGCAUGAGAACUAGAAUUAAAGUGGAGUCUGGAGAUGUGACUGAACUGUUGCAAAACUUGAACAGUUGAGGAGCUGCUUGUUUUGGAUGGGCAAAGAAAGUGGUUUCCUGAGACGGAAUCUCCUCCUGUUGAAGGUGCUGUGAAUAUUGUUGAAAUGAUAACAAAAGAUUUAGAAUAUA